rnacentral:rRNA from 1 species
GACCUGGCCGGGCGGUCCGCCUCACGGUGUGUACUGUCUGGCUGGGCCUUACCUCUUGGUGAGCCGGUAUGCCCUUUACUGGAUGUGCCGGUGAACCAGGACUUUUACCUUGAGAAAAUUAGAGUGUUUAAAGCAGGCCUACGCUUGAAUACAUUAGCAUGGAAUAAUAGAAUAGGACUU